UGCCGGGUCGUUCAACUGGCGAGGACGCUGCGGCUCUGAACCGCAGUAUCUAGGUUCAACUCCUAGCCCGGCAUCCG
rnacentral:tRNA from 1 species